rnacentral:rRNA from 1 species
ACACCAGCGCCACAAGUGGCAACCGCUUUUAUUGGGCCUAAAGCGUCCGUAGCCGGUUCAGUAAAUUUUCUGUGAAAUCGUGGGGCUUAACCUAACGUCGUGCAGGAAAGACUACUGGACUAGGGACCGGGAGGCGUCAGAGGUAUUCCUGAGGGAGCGGUAAAAUGCUAUAAUCUCAGGAGGACCACCGAUGGCGAAGGCAUCUGACGAGAACGGAUCCGACGGUGCGGGACGAAAGCUAGGGGAGCAAACCGGAUUAGAAACCCGAGUAGUCC